rnacentral:misc_RNA from 1 species
UUGUAUAUCAACCUCUUCAACCUUUGGCUUGUUGAGUGUUGGAUGUGGGGGGUUUUGCUGGUUUCUCUCUUGAGGUCAGCUCUCCUGAAAUGCAUUAGUUGAACAAUUUGCAGACCUUGUUCAUUGGUGUGAUAAUUAUCUACGCUAUUAACAACAAAGCAAGCUCAGCUUCUAACAGUCCAUUGACUUGGACAAUAUCUAUAUCAA